UAACAUUAGCUCAGAAGGUAGAGCUCUACACUGAUAAUGUAGCGGUCGCGUGUUCAAAUCACGCAUGUUAAA
rnacentral:tRNA from 1 species